AUUGAACGCUGGCGGCAUGCUUUACACAUGCAAGUCGAGCGGCAGCGCGGGCUUCGGCCUGGCGGCGAGUGGCGAACGGGUGAGUAAUACAUCGGAACGUGCCCAGUAGUGGGGGAUAGCUCGGCGACAGCCGGAUUAAUACCGCAUACGACCUGAGGGUGAAAGCGGGGGAUCUUCGGACCUCGCGCUAUUGGAGCGGCCGAUGGCAGAUUAGCUAGUUGGUGGGGUAAAGGCCUACCAAGGCGACGAUCUGUAGCUGGUCUGAGAGGACGACCAGCCACACUGGGACUGAGACACGGCCCAGACUCCUACGGGAGGCAGCAGUGGGGAAUUUUGGACAAUGGGCGAAAGCCUGAUCCAGCAAUGCCGCGUGUGUGAUGAAGGCCUUCGGGUUGUAAAGCACUUUUGGCGGGAACGAAAAGGACUGUGCCAAUACCACGGUUCGAUGACGGUACCCGCAGAAUAAGCACCGGCUAACUACGUG
rnacentral:rRNA from 1 species